rnacentral:rRNA from 1 species
UACGGAGGGUGCGAGCGUUAAUCGGAAUUACUGGGCGUAAAGCGCGCGUAGGCGGUUUGUUAAGUCAGCUGUGAAAGCCCCGGGCUCAACCUGGGAACUGCAGUUGAUACUGGCCGACUAGAGUAUGAGAGAGGGAGGUAGAAUUCCACGUGUAGCGGUGAAAUGCGUAGAUAUGUGGAGGAAUACCAGUGGCGAAGGCGGCCUCCUGGCUUAAUACUGACGCUGAGGUGCGAAAGCGUGGGGAGCAAACAGG